rnacentral:lncRNA from 1 species
CAGAGAUAUAUUGAUGAAUUGGGUGUGUUCUAAGGUUUUUUUGAACUACUACUAGCUAAGAUUUUUAGUUUUUGAUCAUUGUGUUGUUAUUUUAGACUUAGUAUGGGUCUAGCACUCUUUAUUUUCUGGGUUUGACUAAUUUUAUUGUCAGAGCCUGGGAACAUGAAGAGGAAUGCCAGAGAAGUGGUACACUGUAAGCCAUGUGUGUGUGUCUAUUCAUCAACUACCUGACUCACUCCCCAGCCAUGCCUCUCACAAGAGGAAUUUAAAGUUACUACAGUCAGUACUAAAGAUAAAGUUGGGAUAGCAGAUGCUUUGGUAGCUGCAUGUCUAAAUAAUAGUAAUUAUUUUGCUUCUAGCAUUCUCUAAUGUUGUUUGGUUUUGAGAGCUAAUGGCAUUUCUAUUUUUUUCCACAGUAAAUAACAGUUUCACUAAAUCAUUAGGGUUGGGUCCAAUAGUUACAAGAGUAUUGACUUCUAUGUAAACCAGCAGAAAAGGCUUAUAGAUCACAUCGCAUGUUUGAUAGUUUACUGGAGUUUUUCUGACGGCCACCUUACUUACAGUCAGACAGCAUAAAGAUUGGAGAUACGGAGUUGGUCGUGGGUUGAAAGAAUACCUUAGCUUAAGCCUAUACAGGGUCAGGAUGAUCAAUAUCACUCUCUUCCACCUCCACAUCUUGUCCCACUGAAGGCCUCUAGGACCAAUAACAUGCAUGGAGCUGUCAUCUCCUAUGAUAACAGGGCCUUCUUUUUGAGUACUUCCCGAAGGACAUGCUUUAGGCUGUCUUUGCAGUUUGCUUUUCUUAUAUAGGUAGAAGGAGUACA